rnacentral:rRNA from 1 species
GACGAACGCUGGCGGCGUGCUUAACACAUGCAAGUCGAACGAAGUGGCGAACGGGUGAGUAAUACGUGAGUAACCUGCCCUCCUUUUUGGGAUAAGCCUUGGAAACGGGGUCUAAUACCGAAUAAAGGGGGAGGGGCUCGCGGCCUAUCAGCUGGUUGGUGGGGUGAUGGCCUACCAAGGCGGUGACGGGUAGCCGGCCUGAGAGGGUGACCGGGCACAUGAGGAAUGGGCUACGGUCCAGACUGCGACAGGAGGGAGCAGUGGGGGAUAUUGCACAAUGGGCGAAAGCCGGCUGCAGCGAUGCCGGGUGGGGGAUGAAGGCUUUCGGGUUGUAAACCUCGUUCGCGAACGAAGGGGUAGGGGGAGAAGAAGCGCCGGCUAACUACGUGCCAGCAGCCGCGGUAAUAC